ACGCAACGCGAAGAACCUUACCUGGGCUUGACAUGUGGAUGACCGGCCUGGAAACAGGUCUUCCCUUCGGGGCAUCUUCACAGGUGGUGCAUGGCUGUCGUCAGCUCGUGUCGUGAGAUGUUGGGUUAAGUCCCGCAACGAGCGCAACCCCCGUCGCAUGUUGCCAGCAUUAAGUUGGGGACUCAUGCGAGACUGCCGGUGACAAACCGGAGGAAGGUGGGGAUGACGUCAAGUCAUCAUGCCCCUUAUGUUCAGGGCUACACACGUGCUACAUUGGCGCGUACAGAGGGCUGCGAUACCGCGAGGUGGAGCGAAUCCCUUAAAGCGCGUCUCGGUUCGGAUUGCAGGCUGAAACCCGCCUGCAUGAAGGCGGAGUUGCUAGUAAUCGCGGAUCAGCACUGCCGCGGUGAAUACGUUCCCGGGCCUUGUACACACCGCCCGCCACACCACGGAAGCAAGCAACACCCGAAGCCGGUGGCCUAACCCUUACGGGAGGGAGCCGUCGAAGGUGGGGCUCGUGACUG
rnacentral:rRNA from 1 species